rnacentral:rRNA from 1 species
GUGCCAGCCGCCGCGGUAAUACGUAGGGUCCGAGCGUUGUCCGGAAUUAUUGGGCGUAAAGGGCUCGUAGGCGGUUUGUCGCGUCGGGAGUGAAAUCUUACAGCUUAACUGUGAACUUGCUUUCGAUACGGGCAGACUUGAGGCAUUCAGGGGAGAACGGAAUUCCUGGUGUAGCGGUGAAAUGCGCAGAUAUCAGGAGGAACACCGGUGGCGAAGGCGGUUCUCUGGGAAUGUUCUGACGCUGAGGAGCGAAAGUGUGGGGAGCGAACAGGAUUAGAAACCCUAGUAGUCC